rnacentral:rRNA from 1 species
UGGGGAAUCUUAGACAAUGGGGGAAACCCUGAUCCAGCAAUGCCGCGUGUGUGAAGAAGGCCUGCGGGUUGUAAAGCACUUUCAGUAGAGAAGAAAAGCUCAUGGUUAAUACCCGUGAGUCUUGACGUAACCUACAGAAGAAGCAUCGGCUAACUCCGUGCCAGCAGCCGCGGUAAUACGGAGGAUGCAAGCGUUAUUCGGAAUUAUUGGGCGUAAAGCGUCCGCAGGUGGUGCCUCAAGUCUGCUGUCAAAGACCGAAGCUCAACUUCGGGCAGGCAGUGGAAACUGAAGCACUAGAGUACGGUAGGGGUAGAGGGAAUUUCCAGUGUAGCGGUGAAAUGCGUAGAGAUUGGAAAGAACACCAGUGGCGAAGGCGCUCUACUGGACCGUAACUGACACUCAGGGACGAAAGCUAGGGGAGCGAAAGGGAUUAGAUACCCGUGUAGUCC